CAACAACAGUUGGUCUCACAACUACAGCCACCACAACUACAACUACAACAGCAACUAAAGCAACUAAAGAAGUCACAGGCACUCCGACUAGUUCCCCGGAAUCCACAACAGUAUCAACUAACCCUCCAGAAGAAGAUGAAGGCUACCUUCUACUGCAGUUUCGAAUAAUGCGUAAAUGGAUCCCAGCUUACAUCAAUCGUCAGUCUAAAGAAUACAAAGCGAUCAGUCUUAAUAUAACAACAGAGUGCAAUAGAGGAUACCGCCAUUCCUAUCCGAACAUUUUCCUUAGAUCGCAUCUAAGACAUCUGUGGGAAGGCUCUGUGGGGACAGAUCUUGAUCUGAUCUUUGUGAAUCAAUCAGUUGUGCCAAACAUUACUAGUGUAGAAGAAUCUCUGAAAACUGCACUAGAUACAUCGAUUAUAUUCCUGAAUAUAAUUCCAAGCAGUAUCAAAGCAGCCAUGCCAAAUAUGACCAAAGAUACCUCAUCCACAACUGCUGCUGCAACAUCAACAACAGCAACAACAACAGGACCACACAGACCCACCACUGUAGGGUCUUCAACAACAUCAAGAUUAACAACGCCAAAUAAUGCCGCAGCUACAGCCACAAGCACAUCUGCAACCAGCAACCAAGCAACUAGCAAAAAUAUUGAUCUAUUCGCUUCACUGUUCUUCACCUCACUGUUUCACGCCCUGUUUAACAAUGUAUAAACAAUCAUGGUUUCAUAAUCUUUCAGGGUUUCAAGUUUUCAUAGAGGACUUGUCUAUUAAUGUAAAAAAAAAAAAUUAUUUACUAAUUAGUAAUUACUAUUUUAUUAAUGAAUUA